rnacentral:lncRNA from 1 species
AGAUCUAAAAAUUUGAAUGACUGAAAUUCAUGUGAUGGAUUUUAUGAUUUGAAAAUAUAUUUUUAGAUCUAAAAUUUAGAUUAUUUUAUAUUUAUUUAUUAAUUUUAAGAUUUAAAAAUUAUUUUUAAGAUCUAAAAAUCUGAUUUCUUAUGUUCAUACUCCAUAAAUUCGAUAUCUAAUUUUCAUGUGAUGUAAAUCCUGUU